CGGACAUAUCACGUUGAAAACCCGGUUCUAGAACGAUCAUCGAAGUUAAGCAACGUCGAGCCUGGUCAGUACCUAGAUGGGUGACCGCUUCUGAAUACCAGGUGCUGUAAG